UGGGGAAUAUUGCACAAUGGGGGAAACCCUGAUGCAGCGACGCCGCGUGAGGGAUGACGGCCUUCGGGUUGUAAACCUCUUUCAGUAGGGACGAAGCGUAAGUGACGGUACCUGCAGAAGAAGCACCGGCUAACUACGUGCCAGCAGCCGCGGUAAUACGUAGGGUGCGAGCGUUGUCCGGAAUUACUGGGCGUAAAGAGCUCGUAGGCGGUUUGUCACGUCGUCUGUGAAAUCCUAGGGCUUAACCCUGGACGUGCAGGCGAUACGGGCUGACUUGAGUACUACAGGGGAGACUGGAAUUUCUGGUGUAGCGGUGGAAUGCACAGAUAUCAGGAAGAACACCGAUGGCGAAGGCAGGUCUCUGGGUAGUAACUGACGCUGAGGAGCGAAAGCAUGGGUAGCGAACAGG
rnacentral:rRNA from 1 species